rnacentral:tRNA from 1 species
CCCUAAAAAGUCCCGAUAACA